GCAUAUGGCCUUACCACUGUGAACGCACCGGGUCUGCUCUGAUUUCUGAUGUUAACAGGUUGGGCCUGGCUGGUACUUGGAUGGGAAACCACUUGGGAGUACCAGGUGCUGUAGCCU
rnacentral:rRNA from 1 species